CCAGGAGAGAAGGAGGCAUGAAAUCUGAGAGAUUGUGUAUUUUACCUAAAAGCACAUUUAAAUUUCUGCAUCGGGCUAGUAUUUCCAGAUUGGGUGGAUUAAAUGCAGUCGUUUUCCUCUACUGUCUGAGGUUUCAGGACUUUUGAGGAAGAUAAGAACAGUCUAAAAGAAUGGAGAUAUAUUCUCUUUGCACAUCCAUUUUAUUCUGAAGAAGAUUUCAUGAUCAUUUUAUAGAGAUCAAUAAUUCCUGUAAACCUGUGGAUCUGAUUUGUGGCAGCUUGGCAUGAGGUGUUUGGGGAAGGAGAUAAAGCCAGAGCCAAGAAGUCUGACUCAAGAUUUCACAGAACUGAGCCCAAGAAUGGAGAUUAAGACAUACCAGUCUGCACAUAGUCACCAACCCUAUCCCUGAGGCAUUUUUAAAUACAUUUCUCCCUUUCUCCUUUUGUCUUGUAUAACCCACCUCCCCACCUCUCCUGACCCCAGAAACCCUAAAGCUCUAAGACAAUUUUAGUUUAACUGUCUCUUCAGACACCUGACAAUAAAGCUACCUACUUUGCACCAACA